rnacentral:lncRNA from 1 species
CGGGUAGUUAAAGUAGACUGAAUAUUUCAAUCCAAAGAACUAAAAUUCAACCUGAAAGUUUCAAGAAGCAGAGUGAAAUAAUUGAAAGAAUCUAAAGUUCCUGGCUACUCUCUAUCAGUGUACAUAGUUAAAGUAGAGUGCAACACUAAAUUUUAUAUAGAUACAAACUCUUAACUAAGAAGCUGUUAGACUAUACUAUUCUUAUUUCAAACUCCUUCACAAGUAAAUGAUUAAAUUCACUUGCUAUUAAAAAAAAAAAAGAAAAUCCCAUAAGGCCUUCCAAUUUUGCAUUCUACCUCCAAGUCCAACGGAAACACUGUUUUGCAUCUUGCUAUGUCGACUGAGUAAUACGAGGCAAGUGUCUCUGAUGUGUCAUUACAUCUAUUUUAUCUCUUCAUUUUGAUUUUACACUUUCAAGCUUUAACUUGAUGCUAGAAAGGUCAAGGAACACUAACUUUGUCAAUCUUGACAAUUCCACUGGAAUACAAGUUUGAGUAGAGUACAAGUAAUUAUAAGCCAGAUUCAACUUUUCAAGACACGUUAGAUCAAAUGGACUGGUUGAGUUCUCAACUCCACCAGAAAUUGUUUCGUCGUCCAGUUCCAGAACAAGCAGAAAGAUACCUGAGAAGCAGAAAUUGUUUCGCCGUCGAGUUGUAGAAGAAGAAUAAGAACAAGAAGAAAGAACUAGACAUACCUGGAGUUUUUCAGAGUUCCAAUACCUAAGUAGGACCAACACCGUCGUCCAGGUAUUCCUGUAUAUACAGUUCUGCUUAUUGAAAAUGUAGAAUGAAGCUAAGUUGAAGUAGUUGCUUUUAUAAUGAUUGUGACAUGAAAGAAAGAGUUCAACUUCUGCCCACUUGUGUUCAGGAAUUUCAACUUCUGCCCCCUUGAGAACUCACACUGUUCCAAGUAGUAGGUAGGUAUCAAGAUUUAAGAGAGAGAGGAGAGUUUUGCCAAUAGAAACUUCGUUUGCUUCUCGAGAAGUUAAACAAGAUGAACUAAUGACAGCACAAAAAGCAUUAUUUUCAUUAAGAAAUCAUGCCUGCUAAGUCAUAGGCUUCCUGUAACAGCAAGAUAUUGCAGAUAAAAUAGUCCUAAAUAAAGCUUGAAGUUGAGAUGUCUGAUAAUAUUACAUUUUUGUGCUUUUGGUGUUUAGUAAAACUCUGACCUAACACUGUUGUGGAGAAAUCUUUUAGUACCAUUUUGCAGCUUAUUGGUGUGUCACAUGUUGAUUAUCAAGCUGAGAAAAACUGUUACCAGGACUCUGGUGUGAAUGUGAUACGGCAUAUUCAACUUUUGUUAAGUUUUUGGCGUAUAGUGAGUCCCUAUAGGGAGUAGCUCUACUAUAAAAACUGCGCGAGACGGAUAGGUCUAGGCCUAAUGAAGAGUGGAUGCAAUAUAUGAUUGAUAUACAAGUGCUUUACCUAGACUGGAACUGAGGUUUCAGGUUUACUGUUUGAUCUUUGGUUCUCUGCAGCUGGUUCAUCUUGAAGAAGUUAUGAGCAUUUGAGAAACGGGAUGUAUUUACAUUACUGGUGUUUUUACAUAAGUUCCUUACGAGGACGAGCGAAAUUAGGAUAGAGGUCGAGACUAUGAAUAUGCAAAAUUCAAAGAGGUAUUAAGACCACGUGAAGUUCAAGGGAGAACUAGAACUAAAUGAAAGUUGCCCGCAAAUUUGUAAAACUAAACCACCUCAUACUACUCAUAUAAUCUAGUAGGAAAAGAAGCCAUGGGUGUUCAAAAAUACCAUAUCAUUGACAUUGCAUUGCAUUACAUAAAUGACGUGUUACAAAGAUCAAAAGGGUUGUCGAUCAAAACAAUGGCUAAACGUAUCUUUUGAACAGAUAGAAACCAUAUAGAAUAUUUCCUAUUCCACAGUUAAACACUGAAAAGAACUGGCAAGUUGAGAGCAGUUCUCGAAGCUAGAUUUACAGAAAGAAGUAAGCACAGUAAAUUGCUUCCACAAAGAACAGAAACAACAACAGGAGAUCAACAACAACAUGCAUCUCUCGAAGCUAUUCACUAUUAACUGCUUCCAGCAAGAAAUCAUGGGCUAUAUUUACAGAAAGAACUAGCAGCAACAACUAAGCACAACAUGUUAAUUGCAUCUCUCAAAGCUCGAUUUACAGAAAUAACUAAGCAAUGUUAAUUGCUUCUGGAAAGAACAAAAGAACGAUAGCAGCAACAACAACAUUAGAUCAAAGCAUUUCGCUUCUAUUCUGUUGCCAGAUUCUGGGAAAGAACCGAAGGUAAAAAAAAAUUCGACAACAUUUCGCUCCUAUUUGGACGUUGAAACAGUGAAAGAAGAAGAAGAAGUCAGAAGAAGAGAAAAUCGUCACAUACCUGUUUAAAACAAAGAAUUGCUUCUUCGGUCACUUCGCUUCGCUUGGUCGCUUCUCGCUUUUUAGUGAGAACGUGGUCGUUUUUUCCUAGCUGAGUCGCUUGUUUUUCUAUGCAGUACGUCUCGACUAGUUUAUCACCAUGCUGCCAAUUUAAUUCAAUGAUUAUAAACCACAGUGACCAAUGCUGGACAUGGUAGAAUACAAAACUUUCACACUAAACUAUUUUUCUGAAUAUCUAAGCAGUCAAAAUUGAUUAUGAAAUUUUCUGGGGAGGAAAGAAAAUUUUAACAGCAUAAAGCAAAACUCACCCUUCAAGGUUGUUCUGUUCACAAAAGUUUCUGAAAGCUAUACGAGAAACCAGAAAGUAUGCAGCUCUCUUAAACAUUGCAUACAAAGACAUUUAACAAGUAAAGAUGGUAUAUACGACUGCAAUAUUAACCGGCAAAAACAAGCUUAAUAUGCCAAAUUCAAACCAACUUAUAAGGAAAUAUUAAUAGCCACAAACCAACUUAUAAGGAAAUGUUAAUUAACCAAACCACCAAAUAAGAGAGUUACGGAAUAGAGAAUUUAGUAGGAAAAGGAGCCAAUACAUGCUUCGAACUUUAUCCAAAAAACAGUAAUGUUACUUCUUAGAUUAAAUAUCAUACACCCACUAGCCCGUAACUCAGUUUAUUUUAAUGUAUAAUAACACCUGAAAGGUCAAAAGAAUAUGAUAACAGUAUCCACAGAUGACUCUUUGCAAUGAGGUAUCAGCUACACAGUAAUCUCAGUGUAGGACCUUUUUGACUUCAUGUUGAUAACCAGUCUGCCAAUAUUUUUCUUGCAUAGCCUCCAGAAAAAUUGGCCAGUUCUUUAGAUAUUCACCAUCGAAGGGGCAAAUUCAAAAUUGUGUAGGUGUAAUAUUUAUUUUAUUUUUUUGACAAGGUAGAAGUAAUACAAUCUUUAGUUUUUCUUCUUUUGGGUUUCACAACUGGUGUCCAGUAGCCGCAUUGGGGCCCGACUAAAUACGGAUUUGUGCUUGGAAGUCCCAUAUUGAGGGGUAAAGCGUUGUUUAACAAAAGCGAGUCCAUACAUAGGGCUCGAAUCCGAGACUUCUGGUUAAGGAUGAAGGAGCACUUAGCACUUUAUACUCAUAGCUCGAAGGUGCGCAUAUGUAAGUUAUAUCUGAACUUCAAACUAGAGUUUCAACAUUGUAUUUCAGAUUUUUAUGAAUGUAAGAAACUAGCAGACACUUGUCUGGAAAACAUCCCGAGAAUUCCAAAACGCAAAGAAUGCUGAGGAGUAACAUUCUUUACAGUUCAGAUCAAAGUCCAUUAGAAAACUAUAUACAGUUAAAAAAACAAUUGCCCAAAACCCGCUACACCAAACAAUACCCAACUACAAGUUCAACCAAAACCCAGGAAAAAAUUAAAGCAUAACCACAUUAAAAAAACACCGACAAAAAAAGAGAAGCAAAAUUUCUAAUAAUCAAAAGAAACAAAAGUAAAAAAGAAAUUCUCACAUUUCUUCCUUUCCAGACUUGGUACACGCGCUUUGCCAUGUGGCAUGCCUCAACCCCCACGUGCUACAGCCUCUCCUCAAACCUUAAGCUGGAACAGAGUCAAACACUUGAAACUUGAGAUUGUUCAUUAUAUGGUAAGCCAAAUGCUCAAAUAAAUUGAAUUCCUUAAAGGGUUUUUCUAGGAUUUUAAUAAACAAACUGACUAAACUCCACUCAAAAUUUAUCCACCUAGCUACAUUGCUAACACUACCGCCAAGAAUAUUGCUGCUCACAGUUCUAAAUUAGGUCUUUAAUUGCUGAAAGCACCUGAAGAGUCUCUCUUGCUAUGUGCUGCGAGUUACUGAUUAAUAAACAACGAAAGAUGAUUUCACCACCUUCAAACUACAAUCUGUUUCUUGAUGGAUGCAAAUGCUACAGUGUUUAUUUUAAUAUAGAGAUGCUGGUGUUCUAAGUACCAAUGCACAGAUGUGCAAGAGGUAGGGAGUACAAAGAUUUACCUUCAUAUGCAAUAUUUAUUACUGAAGUUGAUUACUCAUUCUGCUCGGUCCUGAAUGGACAAUUGAAAAAAUACAUACUAUAAAUCUAAAUACUGAUAAACCAACAGAGCUUGGGCAGCAUUAAUAAGCCAAUAAACUUCAGAAUACUCAUAUCGAGUGAAAUAAAAGAAACCAAACUUUGCAAAAUUGUAACAAACUACCAGCAAUGUGUACUACUAUAUUUCACGAGAAUGAAUAGAAAACCAGUGUAGGGAGCAUUCACUAUAGUAUCAUACUAUCAUCGAACACUGCUAGCAAACAUCAAAUCUCAUGGUUUCUAACACAAAUUCAAAACCCAACAAACAAAUCCCCCAGUUUCGCAAACUAAAACUCACAAAAUAUAUCGCAUAAAACAGAAAACAGAAGAAAAAUAAUGGUUUUAUUAGAAAUAUUAUCAAAGAAAGAAAAUAGUAGGAACAAUGAAAUAAAUUUUCAGAGUAGGGAAGAAGAAAUCGAAAAUCGAACAGUAAUAGCAAACAUAACAACAACAACAACUACCCAGUAUAGUCCCACAAAGUGGGGUCUGGAGAGGGUAAUAUGUAGACGGGCCUUACCCCUACCCGAAAGGGCAAAGAGGCUGUUUCCAACGGACCGUCGGCUCAGUAAAGUAAAGAAAACAAAAGAGCAUUAGUAGCUUGAACAGAAAUAGUGUAAAUAAUUAUCUCAACAUAAGAGUACGAAAAACUCUAGGGACCCCUAUCCUACAACCCUGAUACUAGACCUCCAGACUUUCUUAUCAAGGGUCAUGUCCUCAGAAAUCUGCAUUCUAGCCAUGUCAUGCCUAAUCACCUCUCCUCAAUACCUCUUAGGCCUCCCUCUCCUAUCAAGGGUCAUGUCCUCGGAAAUCCGCAUUUUAGCCAUGUCAUGCCUAAUCACCUCUCCUCAAUCCCUCUUAGGCCUCCCUCUGCCUCGCCGCCGACCAUCGCCAGCCGCUCACAACUCAUCACCGGGGCAUCAGGACUUCUCCUCCGUACAUGCCCGAACCACCCCAGCCUUGCUUCUCGCAUCUUCUCAUCCACCGGGUCCACCCCACCUUCUCUCGAAUAACUUAAUUCUUAAUCUAAUCUUAUCUAACCUGGUGAGCCCGCACAUUCACGUGAGCAUCCUCAUCUCCGCAACCUUCAUCCUUUGAACAUGACAGUUCUUCACUGACCAGCACUCCGCCCGUCUAACCAGCUCUAUAAUAGCAAACAUAGAACAGGGUAAAAAAUCGAAAGCCUACCUCGGAGAUUGUGGUAUGUUAGCCGAUAAUGAUCGUCCUUCACCGGAAAUUAUCGUCCUUCACCGGAGCUGGUCGAAAGUUCGUCGCUUCGUUUCUGAAGAAAGCCGCUAUAAUGGUUGAAGAACAGAGAAAGCUCUGUCGUCUGGUUGAAGAACAGAGUUCACCGGAGCUGGUCGACAGUUCGUCGCUUUGUUGAUGUAGAAAGACGCGAUAAUGGUUGAAGAACAGAGAACUGGUCGAUGUAAGCUAUGUCGUCUCGUUGAAGAACAGAGAAAGCUGGUCGAUGUGUUCUAGGUUAUUAAUUAGUUUCAUAUCUUUGAGUUAUAAAAUAUUAGUGGGGUCCACUACUUUUGUUUUUUUAAUAAAUACCUGGGAGAGAAAAUAAAUACC